rnacentral:misc_RNA from 1 species
UAAAAUUUUCUUUGCGUUUGCUCUAAAUGGACAAUUUGAAGCCAAGAACCCAUCAACCAAAUGGAGAUAAGCCUCCAAAUCAUGGCAGCAUGCCACGUCAGCAUUUGGUUUUAGAUAGGGCGACAUCUUGGUAUCCACACGAAGCUCAGUUCCUACGUGCGAGUAGGCCAUUGGCAUGUUAUCAUUUAGUUGUUCAACCACGGGCAAGCCAGGAACCUUGGUGAUAACAUCUUGAUCAUUCACAAUGCGCAAGACCUUUACAUUUUUGGCAUUAAUUUGGUUUGCAAAUCCUCUGUUACCAACUUUAGGUCCACCGAAGGAAAAAACUGCAACUGGUGGCAUUUCAGAGGCUUGUAUAGUACUUAUAUCAUCUGCAACUAAUAGGGCCAAGGCUGCCCCUAGGCUGUGGCCUGUGACUGUGAUGCUUAGGGUCUCACCCUUGUAUUGUUCCAUGAGCCUUUUUACCUCUUCAACCACUGAUUCGGCUAGGCUGGGCACAUGAGCUCCACUGGUUUUGUACAGGCUCAAGAACCCACAUUCCACCUUGGGUUGUCCGUCAUAGUUCCCGGCCAUAUCCACUAAAUGGGCUCUCAUGUUCUCAGCCCAUUCAAGACACGUGGCUGUACCACGUAAUGCGAUCACUAUAUCCCUCCUUCCCAUCCUCUGGAUCUCUCUUUUGUCAUCACAUACCGCCACGUAUCCGACCCAACUGGAUCGCUGGGUCAUCCAACCGAGAUCCGGUGCAACAUCAUCUACCCAUUUGGGCAACCCCACGGAGCAUGUAGCGUACAGGCUCUUCGUCACCUUAUAUGACCUGUCGGUCAAAGCCACGUGUCUGGGCAACGGAGCUUCCUCUGUUGACAUUGCGGGGUUCGAAUGGAAAGCAUGAUAGGCAGCUUGCACGAAUUCUCCAUACCUCACCACCUCUCGCCGGAGGUUCUCAUCCAGGGGGUCAAGAAGCCCGGCCCAAUCGUUACUUCCAUGAUACUCUCUCCACCGGGAACCGAGAUUAUUCCUGGGAGAAUACUCCGCAGUUUUGGACAACAAGCGCUGAAGCCUAUUUAGGUGUCUGGGCGACAUUUCCUCAGCAGCUCGUAUUUCAGGCCACAUCCUAGCCAAGUUGAGGCCUUCAAGUAAAGCUUUACCUUUGUUUGCCAAUGUGGAUCUAUUAUUGUUAUUAUUAUUAUUCUCAUUGGAAACUUUAUGAACCGUUUGUACAGGUUCCGGUAAGUUGGGCUCCGGAAUAGUCUUCUUUU